rnacentral:rRNA from 1 species
AUUGAACGCUGGCGGCAUGCCUUACGCAUGCAAGUCGAACGGUAACAGGUUAAGCUGACGAGUGGCGAACGGGUGAGUAAUAUAUCGGAACGUGCCCAGUAGUGGGGGAUAGCCCGGCGAAAGCCGGAUUAAUACCGCAUACGACCUACGGGUGAAAGGGGGGGAUCGCAAGACCUCUCGCUAUUGGAGCGGCCGAUAUCAGAUUAGGUAGUUGGUGGGGUAAAGGCCUACCAAGCCUGCGAUCUGUAGUUGGUCUGAGAGGACGACCAGCCACACUGGGACUGAGACACGGCCCAGACUCCUACGGGAGGCAGCAGUGGGGAAUUUUGGACAAUGGGCGCAAGCCUGAUCCAGCAAUGCCGCGUGCAGGAAGAAGGCCUUCGGGUUGUAAACUGCUUUUGUACGGAACGAAACGGUCCUGGUUAAUACCUGGGGCUAAUGACGGUACCGUAAGAAUAAGCACCGGCUAACUACGUGCCAGCCGCCGCGGUAACAC